ACUCGAGUGGCGAACGGGUGAGUAACACGUGGGUGAUCUGCCCUGCACUUCGGGAUAAGCUUGGGAAACUGGGUCUAAUACCGGAUAGGAGUCAUCUUUAGUGUGGUGGUUGGAAAGUUUUUCGGUGUAGGAUGAGCUCGCGGCCUAUCAGCUUGUUGGUGGGGUAAUGGCCUACCAAGGCGGCGACGGGUAGCCGGCCUGAGAGGGUGUACGGCCACAUUGGGACUGAGAUACGGCCCAG
rnacentral:rRNA from 1 species